rnacentral:tRNA from 1 species
GGAGGGAUGGCCGAGCGGACGAAGGCGUCGGUCUUGAAAACCGAUGGGCCCGGCGACGGGUCUCGUGGGUUCGAAUCCCACUCCCUCCG